GACGAACGCUGGCGGCGUGCCUAAUACAUGCAAGUCGAACGAGAGCGACCGGUGCUUGCCCUGGUCAAUCUAGUGGCGAACGGGUGAGUAACACGUGGGUAACCUGCCCAUCAGAGGGGGAUAACAUCCGGAAACGGAUGCUAAACCGCAUAGGUCUUCGAGCCGCAUGGCUUGAAGAGGAAAAGAGGCGCAAGCUUCUGCUGAUGGAUGGACCCGCGGUGCAUUAGCUAGUUGGUGAGGUAACGGCUCACCAAGGCCGUGAUGCAUAGCCGACCUGAGAGGGUGAUCGGCCACAUUGGGACUGAGACACGGCCCAAACUCCUACGGGAGGCAGCAGUAGGGAAUCUUCCGCAAUGGACGCAAGUCUGACGGAGCAACGCCGCGUGAGUGAAGAAGGUUUUCGGAUCGUAAAACUCUGUUGUUAGAGAAGAACAAGUGCUAGAGUAACUGUUAGCGCCUUGACGGUAUCUAACCAGAAAGCCACGGCUAACUACGUG
rnacentral:rRNA from 1 species